rnacentral:misc_RNA from 1 species
AACGCACAUUGCGCCCCUUGGUAUUCCGAGGGGCAUGCCUGUUCGAGCGUCAUUUCAAACCUCAAGCUCACGCUUGGUGUUGGGCGUCGUCCGCUAGGACGUGCCCGAAACCCGUAGGCAGUGGUGCCCGCCUCCCAGCGUAGUCAAGUUACCCGCUCCGGAGCGCGUGGUGCCGCCCGCCAGACGAACAACCCAUUAUCUUCUAUGGUUUGACCUCGGAUCAGGUAGGGAUACCCGCUGAACUUAA